AGUGAACGCUGGCGGCAGGCCUAACACAUGCAAGUCGAGCGGCAGCGGGUCCUUCGGGAUGCCGGCGAGCGGCGGACGGGUGAGGAAUGCAUCGGAAUCUGCCCUGUCGUGGGGGAUAGCCUAGGGAAACUUAGGCUAAUACCGCAUACGACCCACGGGUGAAAGCGGGGGAUCGCAAGACCUCGCGCGAUAGGAUGAGCCGAUGUCCGAUUAGCUAGUUGGCGGGGUAAAGGCCCACCAAGGCGACGAUCGGUAGCUGGUCUGAGAGGAUGAUCAGCCACACUGGGACUGAGACACGGCCCAGACUCCUACGGGAGGCAGCAGUGGGGAAUAUUGGACAAUGGGCGCAAGCCUGAUCCAGCCAUGCCGCGUGGGUGAAGAAGGCCUUCGGGUUGUAAAGCCCUUUUGUCCGGGAAGAAAUCGUCUGGGCUAAUACCCCGGGCGGAUGACGGUACCGGAAGAAUAAGCACCGGCUAACUUCGUG
rnacentral:rRNA from 1 species